UUUUAAUUUUUAACUCUAAUUGUUGUGAAACUUUUUUCUUUUAUUUUUUUUUAUUUAAUGUUUUGUAAAAUAUUUAUUAUUUUUUUAUUUUUGUGAGAAGUUUUUUAAAUUUGUUUUAUUGAACUGGAUUAGUACCCAGGUAAUCAAAAUUUAUUAGUUCGGGAGUAAAGUUGUAUUUAAACCGAAAAAAUAUUGACUGACCUUAGAUUUUUUUUUGGAACAUGUUUUGGAGAGCCCUCCUUGGUAGUUUUUUUUUAGGUGCAUGUAUGAUUGUUUAGUUUUUAUAUUAAUUUUGAGGCUUGUUUUUGUUUUAAAACAGAUAUAUACUUGGCUAAUAAAAGAUUUUUUAUGUGUUACUAUUUUUUAUUUAUCCGGAUGUAAUUUUUAUUAAUUAUUGAAGUUGGAAAAAAAAGUAAUUUUAUUUUAAUGUUAAAGUGAAUUAAAUAAAUGAGG
rnacentral:rRNA from 1 species